rnacentral:lncRNA from 1 species
AUCCCUGAAAGGUUUUCGACUUUCCGAUUUACCCCUCUUAGAAGGCUAAUACUGAAAAUGCUUUUUUUACGUUCCAACCUAUUUCUAAUAAAACCCUACAGUUAAAAUUUGGUAAUGAACUCUAUUAUUUCUAUGAAAUUAUUACUUUGCUUUUUCAAAUAUACUUUUAUACCAUCACCGACUUUUCUUAUUUGUCCUUAAGUAAGGAGCACAAAAAAUAUUUUGAUUUUUUAUUUUUUUCAAAAUACCCAUGCAGUUACCACCCAUUUAGUUAACUUGGGUUAAACGUGAGUUAAAUAUCUACCACAGUUAGAAAAAAUUAAAAUACGACUUUUGCCCUUAACUUAAGGGCAAAUAAGAAAUAUUAGUGAUGAUAGAAUGAUAUAUUUAAAAAAAUAAAAAAUCAAAAUAUUUUUUGUGCUCCUUACUUAAGGACAAAUAAGAAAAGUCGGUGAUGGUAUAAAAGUAUAUUUGAAAAAGCAAAGUAAUAAUUUCAUAGAAAUAAUAGAGUUCAUUACCAAAUUUUAACUGUAGGGUUUUAUUAGAAAUAGGUUGGAACGUAAAAAAAGCAUUUUCAGUAUUAGCCUUCUAAGAGGGGUAAAUCGGAAAGUCGAAAACCUUUCAGGGAUA